rnacentral:rRNA from 1 species
CCUUAGCGGUAACAGGCCCUUCGGGGUGCUGACGAGCGGCGGACGGGUGAGUAACGCAUAGGAAUCUGCCCGGUAGUGGGGGAUAACCUGGGGAAACCCAGGCUAAUACCGCAUACGUCCUACGGGAGAAAGCGGGGUUUCGGCCUCGCGCUAUCGGAUGAGCCUAUGCCGGAUUAGCUGGUUGGUGAGGUAAUGGCUCACCAAGGCGACGAUCCGUAGCUGGUCUGAGAGGAUGAUCAGCCACAUCGGGACUGAGACACGGCCCGAACUCCUACGGGAGGCAGCAGUGGGGAAUAUUGGACAAUGGGGGCAACCCUGAUCCAGCCAUGCCGCGUGUGUGAAGAAGGCCCUCGGGUUGUAAAGCACUUUCAGCGAGGAAGAACGCCUAAUGGUUAAUACCCGUUAGGAAAGACAUCACUCGCAGAAGAAGCACCGGCUAACUCCGUGCCAGCAGCCGCGGUAAUACGGAGGGUGCAAGCGUUAAUCGGAAUUACUGGGCGUAAAGCGCGCGUAGGCGGCUUAAUAAGCCGGUUGUGAAAGCCCCGGGCUCAACCUGGGAACGGCAUCCGGAACUGUUAAGCUAGAGUGCAGGAGAGGAAGGUAGAAUUCCCGGUGUAGCGGUGAAAUGCGUAAAGAUCGGGAGGAAUACCAGUGGCGAAGGCGGCCUUCUGGACUGACACUGAC